CUCUUAUCCAGAGAGGUGGAGGGACUGGCCCGAUGAAACCCGGCAACCGGCACGUAUGUGCAAUGGUGCCAAUUCCUGCAGCGAUUGCUGAGAGAUGAGAG
rnacentral:ncRNA from 2 species